AUUUGGAGAAAAUGGCAGAGUCAAUGUGCUGUGACUCAAACUCAAAGGACUGCAGGUACAAUGAAUGCCCUGACUGCAAAAAUAGAGAUUUUCCAGUAGUAAUCGAGGGGGAUUUGCAAGCAAUAGUUUUUUCACACAGUGGACAACAGAGACUGUUCUCAGAGAGAAGAAGAAGGAAGGUAAAAAAGAGAAAGUGGAUGUCAAAAUGACAGUGAAAAAGAGGUCAGAGACGACUUUGGAGAACCUACUUGGGCUAUUCCAAUGCCAACUUACAAACUUCAAAAGACACCUCUUCAACAUAAAACGUCAAUUUACCUGCUACCGGGAACUAAAGAGGAGCAUGACGGAUCGUGAAUGCUUAAUUCAUGUAGAUUUUUCAGAAAACUACACCUGCAAGUACUCCUCUCAAAUCCAAGCUGUACACUUUGCAUCAAACCAGCAGCAGGCAACACUCCACACUGGAGUUCUACAUGUUGGUGGAGUGGAAGAACAUGUGUGCUUUGGCACAAUCAGCCCAUCAAAAGAAAAAGGCCCUGCAGCCAUAUGGACCCAUCUAUCACCGGUACUUGACCUGCUUAAGACUUCCUAUCCAAAUGUGACCGUGGUGCAUUUUUUCAGUGAUGGGCCAUGCACACAAUACAGGCAGAAAGGCAAUUUCUAUCUGCUCUGCACUAAGCUGCAGCAGUGUGGCUUCCAAUCAGGCACUUGGAAUUUUUUUGAGGCAAGCCACGGCAAAGGUGCUCCAGAUGGAGUUGGAGGCCUCCUCAAAAGGACAGCUGACAGGAUUGUCAGCCAUGGGAAAGACAUCCCUAGUGCUGAAAUCUUUUUCAAUGCACUGGUGGACGCACAGACCUCAGUAAAACUGUUCUACAUCACUGAGGAUGACAUAAAUGAAGCCACAAAGAGCAUGCCAGAUAAACUCCCUGUAGUGCCAUCAACCAUGAGCAUUCACCAAGUCACAACAGUUACUCCAGGACAAAUCAGCUACUGUGAUGUGAGCUGACUUUGCUCAAUGAGACAGACCCUGGAGUGUCAGUGUUAUGACUCCAAAACCUUCACCUUCGAGAUUCAGGACAGAGCCACACAGGAGGACAACAGUCAGAAUCCAUCUGUAAUUCCUUGGCAAAACUCAGACAUCAUAGGCCAGUGGUGUUGUCUGAAAUACGAUGGUGAUAUUUAU
rnacentral:lncRNA from 1 species